rfam:Macaca mulatta chromosome 20, whole genome shotgun sequence.
AUUACCAAGGGAUCUUGUUAAAAUGCAGAUUCCAACUUAGAGGUGGAGUGGAGCCUGGGAUUCCACAUUUCUAACAAGCUCCUGAGUGAUGCUGC